rnacentral:rRNA from 1 species
GACGAACGCUGGCGGCGUGCUUAACACAUGCAAGUCGAACGAUGAACCGGAGCUUGCUCCGGGGGAUUAGUGGCGAACGGGUGAGUAACACGUGGGCAACCUGCCCCAGACACCGGGAUAACCUUCCGAAAGGAUGGCUAAUACCGGAUAUGACCACUUCGGGCAUCCGACGGUGGUGGAAAGGAUUCUGGUCUGGGAUGGGCCCGCGGCCUAUCAGCUUGUUGGUGGGGUAAUGGCCUACCAAGGCGACGACGGGUAGCCGGCCUGAGAGGGCGACCGGCCACACUGGGACUGAGACACGGCCCAGACUCCUACGGGAGGCAGCAGUGGGGAAUAUUGCGCAAUGGGCGAAAGCCUGACGCAGCGACGCCGCGUGAGGGACGAAGGUCUUCGGAUUGUAAACCUCUUUCAGCAGGGACGAAGCGAAAGUGACUGUACCUGCAGAAGAAGCACCGGCUAACUACGUGCCAGCAGCCGCGGUAAU